rnacentral:ncRNA from 1 species
UGCUCCGGUGCGACGGGCGGUCUUUCCCAAGGAAAAACAAGGGUGAAAGAACCCGGCCAAGCCCCACCCCUCCCGCCCACGGCGCAAACUCACUCACGAGGGUGAACAUCGCCAACUCGACUGGAUUUGGGGCCUAUUGCCUGCCUUACGCUCGGCGCGACACAGCCGCAGACAUGCGACGGCCCUCGCCGGGACGGGCAAUCCCGUUGCGAGGGCCUGACCACCGAGGAAGGUAAGGACUUCCCG